GUGCUCACUUCAGCAGCACAUAUACUAAAAUUGGAACGAUACAGAGAAGAUUAGCAUGGCCCCUGCACAAGGAUGACAUGCAAAUUCAUGAAGCAUUCCAUAUAUUU
rnacentral:snRNA from 1 species